CCUAUAUUGAAAAAAUUUCAAAUUUCAAGAACUUGGCUAGAUAUAACAUGUAUAAAGGGUGAAAACUGAAAAGUACUGGUUCAAGAUCUGUAUUUUACAGUGAUAAUCAUGUAACUUUCAAUUAUAGUCCUGGUGUCUCCUCCAUGUGCAGACGGAUACUAAGCAAUUUUAUCAGUUUCUUCUAGUGUUUCAAUUUUUCCCUUGAUUCUUCUUUCCUUUGCUCUUUGAAUGUCACAAAAUUCCCCCUGAGGCUUCUCCAUCUUUAGGAUGAGUUUGGUUCAAGGUAUUCCUCUUACUGUUAUCAGACUCUGAUCAGCAAAUUUUUGUUAAAAGAGUCUGCCUUUCCCUUGUUAUAUGUGUCUCAAGGAAAAGAAAAAGAAUAUCCUCACAGAAGGUAGCUCAGAACCACUGUUAUUUGGAUUGCCUAGUGGCUACUUAGCUAACUAGAAAAACUAAUAUUAGAUUCUGGUAAGAAGAAAAGACCUUUUAAACUAAAAUUAUAUCUGCUGUCCUUCACUAUAUGGACAAAUUAUUUUAUAAUUUAGAUAAAUCAAUAAAAUAUGUCCAGUCCCAUCCAUCAAAGGAAAAUUUUAAUGUUCUACAGGAAUGAGUUCGACUACUUUUU
rnacentral:misc_RNA from 1 species